UAAAGUGCGAUAUCUAAUGUGAUUUGCAUGAAUCUGUGAGUCAUCUAGUCUUUGAACGCAACUUGCACCUCUCGAGAAAUCGAGCGGUAUGUCUGUUUGAGAACCACAAACCUCUUUUGCUCAUAUCCAUCUAUCUUGAUGGAUGUGGCAGACAUGAGACACUAAGUGAGUGUCUUGAAAUAAAGCAUGCAAGGCUUGUGAGCGUGUGCCAUGUGCUAGAGAUCGCAAGAUCUUGUCAUGGUGUGCGGGAACGGUCGAACUUACUUAUUAUCCGAGGUCUCAAAUCAGGCAAGAUUACCCGCUGAACUUAA
rnacentral:misc_RNA from 1 species